rnacentral:rRNA from 1 species
CACGUAGGGUGCGAGCGUUGUCCGGAAUUAUUGGGCGUAAAGAGCUCGUAGGCGGUGUGUCGCGUCGGCCGUGAAAACCUGCAGCUUAACUGUGGGCUUGCGGUCGAUACGGGCAUCACUGGAGUUCGGCAGGGGAGACUGGAAUUCCUGGUGUAGCGGUGGAAUGCGCAGAUAUCAGGAGGAACACCGAUGGCGAAGGCAGUUCUCUGGGCCGUAACUGACGCUGGAGGAGCGAAAGCGUGGGGAGCAAACAGG